rnacentral:rRNA from 1 species
UGGGGAAUCUUCCGCAAUGGACGAAAGUCUGACGGAGCAACGCCGCGUGAGUGAAGAAGGUUUUCGGAUCGUAAAACUCUGUCUUUUGGGGCGAACGUGAGUAUGGUGAACAAUCAUAGUCAGUGACGGUACCAAAGGAGGAAGCCACGGCUAACUACGUGCCAGCAGCCGCGGUAAUACGUAGGUGGCAAGCGUUGUCCGGAAUUAUUGGGCGUAAAGAGCGCGUAGGCGGGAUAGUCAGUCUGUUGUAAAGUGCGGGGCUCAACCCCGUGAUGGCAAUGGAAACAGCUAUUCUUGAGUGCAGGAGAGGAAAGUGGAAUUCCCAGUGUAGCGGUGAAAUGCGUAGAUAUUGGGAGGAACACCAGUGGCGAAGGCGACUUUCUGGACUGUGUCUGACGCUGAGGCGCGAAAGCCAGGGGGAGCGAACGGGAUUUAGAUACCCCCGGUAGUCCUGGCCGUAAACGAUGGGUACUAGGUGUGGGAGGUAUCGACCCCUUCCGUGCCGGAGUUAACGCAAUAAGUACCCCGCCUGGGGAGUACGGUCGCAAGACUGAAACUCAAAUGAAUUGACGGGGGUCAUAGCUGUUUCCUG